CAUUACAGAGUUCCUGCCCUCACGGGUAGAAACCCCACCCUUGUGUAUAUUAUAUUGUUGCUUUAGUAGGUCGCCCUUUGGGGCGUCGGCCUCGGCUGACUGUGCCUGCUAGAGGACCCUAAACUUUGAAAUACAGUGUCGUCUGAGUACUAUUUAAUAGUUAAAACUUUCAACAACGGAUCUCUUGGUUCUGGCAUCGAUGAAGAACGCAGCGAAAUGCGAUAAGUAAUGUGAAUUGCAGAAUUCAGUGAAUCAUCGAAUCUUUGAACGCACAUUGCGCCCCUUGGUAUUCCGGGGGGCAUGCCUGUUCGAGCGUCAUUUAGACCAACUCCCGCUCCGGCGGGGUCUUGGGCUGCGCCUUUAGGCGGGCCUUAAAACCAGUGGCGGUGCCCUAAGGCUCUACGCGUAGUAAUUCUUCUCGCGAUAGGGUCCUUGCGGUGUCUUGCCAGCAACCCCCAACUCUCUAGGGUUGACCUCGGAU
rnacentral:rRNA from 1 species